UCUGGUGUCUCUGGCGCAAUGGCUCCACUCCGAACCCAUCCCGAACUCGGCUGUGAAACUUUGCUGCGGCGAAGAUACUUUGGGGGUUGCCCCCUGGAAAAAUAGCUCGAUGCCAGAC
rfam:Microcoleus chthonoplastes PCC 7420 scf_1103659003804 genomic scaffold, whole genome shotgun sequence.